GGGUUGUGAGGUUAAGCGACUAAGCGUACACGGUGGAUGCCCUGGCAGUCAGAGGCGAUGAAGGACGUGCUAAUCUGCGAUAAGCGUCGGUAAGGUGAUAUGAACCGUUAUAACCGGCGAUUUCCGAAUGGGGAAACCCAGUGUGAUUCGUCACACUAUCAUUAACUGAAUCCAUAGGUUAAUGAGGCGAACCGGGGGAACUGAAACAUCUAAGUACCCCGAGGAAAAGAAAUCAACCGAGAUUCCCCCAGUAGCGGCGAGCGAACGGGGAGCAGCCCAGAGCCUGAAUCAGUGUGUGUGUUAGUGGAAGCGUCUGGAAAGGCGCGCGAUACAGGGUGACAGCCCCGUACACAAAAAUGCACAUGCUGUGAGCUCGAUGAGUAGGGCGGGACACGUGGUAUCCUGUCUGAAUAUGGGGGGACCAUCCUCCAAGGCUAAAUACUCCUGACUGACCGAUAGUGAACCAGUACCGUGAGGGAAAGGCGAAAAGAACCCCGGCGAGGGGAGUGAAAAAGAACCUGAAACCGUGUACGUACAAGCAGUGGGAGCACGCUUAGGCGUGUGACUGCGUACCUUUUGUAUAAUGGGUCAGCGACUUAUAUUCUGUAGCAAGGUUAACCGAAUAGGGGAGCCGAAGGGAAACCGAGUCUUAACUGGGCGUUAAGUUGCAGGGUAUAGACCCGAAACCCGGUGAUCUAGCCAUGGGCAGGUUGAAGGUUGGGUAACACUAACUGGAGGACCGAACCGACUAAUGUUGAAAAAUUAGCGGAUGACUUGUGGCUGGGGGUGAAAGGCCAAUCAAACCGGGAGAUAGCUGGUUCUCCCCGAAAGCUAUUUAGGUAGCGCCUCGUGAAUUCAUCUCCGGGGGUAGAGCACUGUUUCGGCAAGGGGGUCAUCCCGACUUACCAACCCGAUGCAAACUGCGAAUACCGGAGAAUGUUAUCACGGGAGACACACGGCGGGUGCUAACGUCCGUCGUGAAGAGGGAAACAACCCAGACCGCCAGCUAAGGUCCCAAAGUCAUGGUUAAGUGGGAAACGAUGUGGGAAGGCCCAGACAGCCAGGAUGUUGGCUUAGAAGCAGCCAUCAUUUAAAGAAAGCGUAAUAGCUCACUGGUCGAGUCGGCCUGCGCGGAAGAUGUAACGGGGCUAAACCAUGCACCGAAGCUGCGGCAGCGACGCUUAUGCGUUGUUGGGUAGGGGAGCGUUCUGUAAGCCUGUGAAGGUGUGCUGUGAGGCAUGCUGGAGGUAUCAGAAGUGCGAAUGCUGACAUAAGUAACGAUAAAGCGGGUGAAAAGCCCGCUCGCCGGAAGACCAAGGGUUCCUGUCCAACGUUAAUCGGGGCAGGGUGAGUCGACCCCUAAGGCGAGGCCGAAAGGCGUAGUCGAUGGGAAACAGGUUAAUAUUCCUGUACUUGGUGUUACUGCGAAGGGGGGACGGAGAAGGCUAUGUUGGCCGGGCGACGGUUGUCCCGGUUUAAGCGUGUAGGCUGGUUUUCCAGGCAAAUCCGGAAAAUCAAGGCUGAGGCGUGAUGACGAGGCACUACGGUGCUGAAGCAACAAAUGCCCUGCUUCCAGGAAAAGCCUCUAAGCAUCAGGUAACAUCAAAUCGUACCCCAAACCGACACAGGUGGUCAGGUAGAGAAUACCAAGGCGCUUGAGAGAACUCGGGUGAAGGAACUAGGCAAAAUGGUGCCGUAACUUCGGGAGAAGGCACGCUGAUAUGUAGGUGAAGUCCCUCGCGGAUGGAGCUGAAAUCAGUCGAAGAUACCAGCUGGCUGCAACUGUUUAUUAAAAACACAGCACUGUGCAAACACGAAAGUGGACGUAUACGGUGUGACGCCUGCCCGGUGCCGGAAGGUUAAUUGAUGGGGUCAGCGCAAGCGAAGCUCUUGAUCGAAGCCCCGGUAAACGGCGGCCGUAACUAUAACGGUCCUAAGGUAGCGAAAUUCCUUGUCGGGUAAGUUCCGACCUGCACGAAUGGCGUAAUGAUGGCCAGGCUGUCUCCACCCGAGACUCAGUGAAAUUGAACUCGCUGUGAAGAUGCAGUGUACCCGCGGCAAGACGGAAAGACCCCGUGAACCUUUACUAUAGCUUGACACUGAACAUUGAGCCUUGAUGUGUAGGAUAGGUGGGAGGCUUGGAAGUGUGGACGCCAGUCUGCAUGGAGCCGACCUUGAAAUACCACCCUUUAAUGUUUGAUGUUCUAACGUUGACCCGUAAUCCGGGUUGCGGACAGUGUCUGGUGGGUAGUUUGACUGGGGCGGUCUCCUCCUAAAGAGUAACGGAGGAGCACGAAGGUUGGCUAAUCCUGGUCGGACAUCAGGAGGUUAGUGCAAUGGCAUAAGCCAGCUUGACUGCGAGCGUGACGGCGCGAGCAGGUGCGAAAGCAGGUCAUAGUGAUCCGGUGGUUCUGAAUGGAAGGGCCAUCGCUCAACGGAUAAAAGGUACUCCGGGGAUAACAGGCUGAUACCGCCCAAGAGUUCAUAUCGACGGCGGUGUUUGGCACCUCGAUGUCGGCUCAUCACAUCCUGGGGCUGAAGUAGGUCCCAAGGGUAUGGCUGUUCGCCAUUUAAAGUGGUACGCGAGCUGGGUUUAGAACGUCGUGAGACAGUUCGGUCCCUAUCUGCCGUGGGCGCUGGAGAACUGAGGGGGGCUGCUCCUAGUACGAGAGGACCGGAGUGGACGCAUCACUGGUGUUCGGGUUGUCAUGCCAAUGGCACUGCCCGGUAGCUAAAUGCGGAAGAGAUAAGUGCUGAAAGCAUCUAAGCACGAAACUUGCCCCGAGAUGAGUUCUCCCUGACUCCUUGAGAGUCCUGAAGGAACGUUGAAGACGACGACGUUGAUAGGCCGGGUGUGUAAGCGCAGCGAUGCGUUGAGCUAACCGGUACUAAUGAACCGUGAGGCUUAACCUUACAACGCCGAAGCUGUU
rnacentral:rRNA from 1 species